UACGGGGGGGGGGCAAGCGUUUGUUCGGAAUUACUGGGCGUAAAGGGCUCGUAGGCGGCCAACUAAGUCAGACGUGAAAUCCCUCGGCUUAACCGGGGAACUGCGUCUGAUACUGGAUGGCUCGAGUUUGGGAGAGGGAUGCGGAAUUCCAGGUGUAGCGGUGAAAUGCGUAGAUAUCGAGAGGAACACCUGCGGCGAAGGCGGGUUGCUGGGCUGACACUGACGCUGAGGCGCGAAAGCCAGGGGAGCGAACGGG
rnacentral:rRNA from 1 species